rnacentral:rRNA from 1 species
AUUGAACGCUGGCGGCAUGCCUUACACAUGCAAGUCGAACGGUAACAGGUUAAGCUGACGAGUGGCGAAAGGGUGAGUAAUGUAUCGGAACGUGCCCAGUCGUGGGGGAUAACUACUCGAAAGAGUGGCUAAUACCGCAUACGACCUGAGGGUGAAAGCGGGGGACCGUAAGGCCUCGCGCGAUUGGAGCGGCCGAUAUCAGAUUGGCUAGUUGGUGGGGUAAAAGCCCACCAAGGCGACGAUCUGUAGCUGGUCUGAGAGGACGACCAGCCACACUGGGACUGAGACACGGCCCAGACUCCUACGGGAGGCAGCAGUGGGGAAUUUUGGACAAUGGACGCAAGUCUGAUCCAGCUAUGCCGCGUGCGGGAAGAAGGCCUUCGGGUUGUAAACCGCUUUUGUCAGGGAAGAAACGAGUUUCUCUAAUACAGAGACUUAAUGACGGUACCUGAAGAAUAAGCACCGGCUAACUACGUGCCAGCCGCCGCAGUAAAAC